rnacentral:rRNA from 1 species
CGACGGGUGGAGUAAUACAUCGGAACGUGUCUUCUAGUGGGGGAUAACUGCCCGAAAGGGCAGCUAAUACCGCAUGAGACCUGAGGGUGAAAGCGGGGGAGUCGCAAGACCUCGCGCUGGAAGAGCGGCCGAUGUCCGAUUAGCUAGUUGGUGAGGUAAAGGCUCACCAAGGCGACGAUCGGUAGCUGGUCUGGGAGGACGACCAGCCACACUGGAACUGAGACACGGUCCAA